GUCGUUCGAAGCAGAACUGGAAAGCGUCCUUCGGCUUAGCAUCGACAAUCUUCACUGCAUUCGGUGGCUUUUGCGGUCUCUCUCUAGCUCUAGAAACUUCAAAAACAAAAAAGUUUGUGUCUCAUCUUAAUUCACAUCUAUAUUUAGCCGUUGUUGGGUGAAUUCAUCAAUAAGGAAAAAUGCAGUUCUUCGGAGGGUCGGAGAUCAGCCCAUUGCCGCCGCUGCCAACAGCAUCGGGAAACAAUGCCCACAUGAUGUAUGUGUUUAACAGGAAUGGGGUGUGCUUGCUUUACAGGGAAUGGAAUCGCCCUCUUAGGACUCUGAAUGCCCAGCAAGACCAUAAGCUCAUGUUUGGUCUGCUUUUCUCUCUUAAGUCCUUAACAGCUAAGAUGGAUCCCACUAGUGUGGAGAAGGGAAACCUUGGGGUACCUCAGUUACCUGGCCAGGGAUGUUCAUUUCAUAGCUUUCGUACUAAUACGUACAAACUAAGUUUCAUGGAAAGUCCAUCUGGCAUAAAGAUUAUCUUGGUCACUCAUCCUGGAACUGGUGAUCUACGGGAAUCCCUGAAGUAUAUCUAUAACUUGUAUGUUGAAUAUGUUGUCAAGAAUCCGCUCUAUUCUCCGGGAACUCCAUUCAGGUCUGAGCUAUUCAAUAAAACUCUUGAUCAAUAUGUGAGGGGUCUUGGAUAGCAUCUCAAGAUUACAAUCAGUUUAGCUAUCAGCAUACCAGUAGAUUGGUUCAUGUGCAGUAAUUUCCACAACAGAUUUCAAGUUUAACUUAUUGAAUGUGAAGAUCCAUGCUCUGCGUAUUUGGUGGAUCCCAUGGCAGUGGCAUGCAUUUGAGUUACUGGCAUGUUCAAUUCAUCUUUUGGGUUGCCACGUCUCUUUUUUCUUCAGAUUGAAGCCUAGGUAAAAUUUAGCAUGUUGGUUGGUUUCCAAAGCUAUGCAGAAUUUGUUGUAUACAAGAUUCUGUCGUUUCUUGCUUUCCACUUUUAUGGGUUCUCAGGUAUCUCGAGUGUGUGAGGAGUCUGACAAAAAGGCCUUCAUUUUGCUUUAAUUACAUUUGAUGGUCUUUUCAUGGUAUUUAUUUAAUUACAUUUGUUAGUUUUUUCUACUGAUGAUUUUUCUACAAUUUUCUUUUAAUGGAUGGAAAGUACUAACAGAAAAGCCCAAUAAGGGGCAAACCUAGUAAAGGGGUAAUUUACAAGGAAACAUUUGAGCUCCCCUGUUUUGUCUAUAAGAAGAAAGAGGCAUGAAGCCAAGAUUGCAAGGAAUCAUCCAAGCUCCUCUGUUUAUUCUAAGAAAAAAAGAAAAAAGCCCAAGGUUUUUGUCAUGGAGACAAAUUAAUAGAAUUUAAUUUCUGCAGGAUUAUAAGUUUGAGUUCCUGCAAGUUUGGUCUUACGUCUUUAGGUGGGAGCCCCAUUUUUUGUAAUUGAGGUGCGUCAUGUUCUUGAUUGGUGUUGCCAGGUUCUUGGAAUAGCACAAAUGACUUCAAGAAAGAGUAUCUUUGCCUGAAACCAAUACUGUUGCAUAGGUUUAAUAACACCUUUAGGAUUGAAGCUCCCUUUGGAACUUGAAGACAUUGCUGCAUAACA